UACAGAGGGUGCAAGCGUUGUUCGGAAUUAUUGGGCGUAAAGGGUGCGUAGGCGGUGCGGUAAGUCUUCUGUGAAAUCUCCGGGCUCAACUCGGAGUCUGCAGAGGAAACUGCCGUGCUGGAGUAUGGGAGAGGUGAGUGGGAUUCCCGGUGUAGCGGUGAAAUGCGUAGAUAUCGGAAGGAACACCUGUGGCGAAAGCGGCUCACUGGACCAUUACUGACGCUCAGGCGCGACAGCGUGGGGAGCAAACAGG
rnacentral:rRNA from 1 species